rnacentral:rRNA from 1 species
UAGGGAAUCUUCCACAAUGGGCGCAAGCCCUGAUGGAGCAACACCGCGUGAGUGAAGAAGGGUUUCGGCUCGUAAAGCUCUGUUGUUAAAGAAGAACACGUAUGAGAGUAACUGUUCAUACGUUGACGGUAUUUAACCAGAAAGUCACGGCUAACUACGUGCCGG